AGAGGGGCCAAAAUAGAUUUUUAGUUAGAAAGUUGUUAAUAUGAAGAGUAAUUAGUCUUAGGGUUUCACUUGUUAAGGAAAUGAAAAAAUUGUUCCAAAAUUAGAAAAUGGUUAUAAAAGUUAAUAAUUGGAGUAAUUAAUUUUUCUUCUUUCUCAUUUUUUUCAUCCUUGAUAAAAGGCCAUCGGGUAUUGGCUAUUGCCUAUUGAGGGGGUAGUUUCGAAUCUCAACUCAUAAUGACCGCUUUUCUAAGCCAUCCUACUUUCAUCCAAUGCUUCCACCUUUAAUGUUCAGGUGGCAUUUGAUUCGCCAUAGUACCCAAUAUUUCUUGCCAAACUUGGCUCCAGCAAAUAAUAAAUCGGACAAGGUAAUCAUACCCUAGUUGCCAAGUUGGUAUUAGUGAUACGAGAGGGUAUAAGCCAAAGUCGUCAUUAUUAAGUUGAUGGAGAGAGUUGCAUAAUCAGAAGCCCAGCAGUCCAAAGUCAGAGAAAAAGAAACGCAAAGCAGAGCGUCGAAAGAGAGACAGGGUGAUUCAAAGGCAGGCAUAGAAAACCCAUUGGAUUGGCUCUUUUCUAAAAGUUUGGCAUCAAAUUAUCAGGACCUUCAUUUGCUGCUCUUUUCAUACACUAAAACAAUAUACAGAAAGCCUAGAUUGCCAAAAUGUUAGUUAUGAUAUUGAACUUAUUUUUUAUUAUUUAAAAAAUUAAUAACACAAGUAACUGUGAUUAGUAUAGAUUGUCUUUGUCUUAGGUUAAAUUAUGAUUAUAGUCUUUUUACUAUGUUUAGGUUUAAGAUUCGGUUUGUAUGUUUCAAUUUGAUAUAAUCUAAUUUGUUUACUUUUAAAAUA